rnacentral:rRNA from 1 species
GUCAACGCCGUAAACGAUGGAUACUAGCUGUUCGGAGCAAUCUGAGUGGCUAAGAGAAAGUGAUAAGUAUCCCACCUGGGGAGUACGUUCGCAAGAAUGAAACUCAAAGGAAUUGACGGGGGCCGCACAAGCGGUGGAGCAUGUGGUUUAAUUCGAUGAUACGCGAGGAACCUUACCAAGGCUUAAAUGUAGAUUGACAGGACUGGAAACAGUUUUUUCUUCGGACAAUUUACAAGGUGCUGCAUGGUUGUCGU